CCUUACACAUCCCAGCCAAUCUCCAGCAGACCCUCCCUCCUAGACCCUCCCACCUCCUGGACAGCAUCCAUGUUGAAGCUGCCUUCAACAUGGAUGCUGUCCAGGAGGUGGGAGGGUCUGGGAGGGAGGGUCUGCUGGAGAUUGGCCGGGAUGUGUCAG